rnacentral:tRNA from 71 species
GCGGGCGUGGUUUAGUGGUAAAACCUCAGCCUUCCAAGCUGAAGAUGCGGGUUCGAUUCCCGCCGCCCGCU